GAGGGUCUGGGUGGGGCCCGUUCCGAAGGCUGGUUUGGGCCGGGAGGGGCGAGGGGGUGAAAGGGUAUAGAGAAAGCUCUCAGCACCAACCACUUGGAGUACUGCAGGGGCGGGGAGGGCAGCGGGAGGCUCGUCUAGUUAGUGCCCCGCUUGGGACCACGUGAUUGGAGAGGUUCCGCCCUAACCCUUUCGAGUCAGGUGUUCGAAUCCCGUCUCCAGAACUGGCGGCGUCCCAUUCCCAUCGGCGCGAGGUGCCAGAGGACCCGCCCUGGGGCUCAUGGCAGCGCCGGUCCGCAUGGGCCGGAAACGCCCGCUGCCGGUUUGCCCCAACCCGCUCUUCAUACGCUGGCUAACCGAAUGGCGGGACGAGGCAGCCAGUAGGGGGCGCCGAACGCAAUUCGUGUUUCAGAAGGCGCUGCGCUCCCUCCGGCGGUACCCACUGCCUCUGCGCAGCGGCAAGGAAGCAAAAAUCUUACAACACUUCGGAGACAGGCUCUGCCGUAUGCUGGAUCAGCGGCUGCAGCAGCACAGAGCAUCAGGCGGUGACCAUGCUCCAAGUUCACCAUCUGGAGAGAAGAGUCCAGCCCCAGAAGGGCCACCUGCCAGAGCCCAGGACUCUUCCGUGCCAGUUUCAGCCCAGCCCAAAGCAGGAGGCCGUGGCAGCUACCGGCCCACUCGGCACUCGGGAGCCCGGGCAGUCCUGCUUCUGCUCUACAGGGAACACCUGAAUCCUAGUGGUCAUGGCUUCCUGACCAAGGAGGAGCUUCUGCGGAGGUGUGCCCAGAAAACUCCCAGGGCGGCCCCUGGGAGUGCUCGACCCUGGCCAGCCCUCCGCUCCCUCCUCCACAGGAACCUGGUUCUCAGGACACACCAGCCAGCCAGGUACUCAUUGACCCCUGAGGGUCUGGAGCUGGCCCAGAAGCUGGCUGAGUCAGAGGGCCUGAGCUCACUGAAUGUGGGCCUCGGACCAGAGGAGCCCCCUGGGGCGGAGCCAGAAGAGCCAGGAGCAGCCUCCGCUGAGCUUGGCGCCAGCGAAGGGAGUGCCCAGCAGCUGUCACUGGAGCUCAGGCCUGGAGAGUACAGGGUGCUGUUGUGUGUGGACAUCGGUGAAGCCAAGGGGGCCAGGCACAGGCAAGAGCUGCUCCUCGAGCUACAGCGGCUGCGUGUCACCCACACGGUGCGCAAGCUGCAUGUUGGGGACUUCGUGUGGGUGGCGCAGGAGACCGAGCCCGGAGACCCAGCGAGACCUGGGGAGCUUGUCCUGGACCACAUCGUGGAGCGCAAGCGGCUGGACGACCUGAACAGCAGCAUCAUGGAUGGCCGCUUCCACGAGCAGAAGUUCCGGCUGAAGCGCUGUGGCCUGGGGCACCGGAUAUACCUGGUGGAGGAGCACUGCUCGGCGAACAACCUCAGCCUUCCAGAGAGCACGCUGCUGCAGGCUGUCACCAACACUCAGGUCAUUGACGGCUUCUUUGUGAAGCGUACAGCGGACAUUAAGGAGUCGGCUGCCUACCUGGCCCUCAUGACGCGGGGCUUACAGAGACUCUACCAGGGCCAUACCCUACGCAGUCGCCCCUGGGGAACCUCUGGGGACCCUGAAUCGAGGCCUGGGCCCUCUCCAGAUCCUCUCUGCUCACUCCUCACCUUCAGUGACUUCAACGCGGGAGCCAUCAAGAACAAGGCCCAGUCAGUGCGCGAGGUGUUCGCCCGACAGCUGAUGCAGGUGCGCGGUGUGAGUGGGGAGAAGGCAGCAGCCAUAGUGGACCGGUACAGCACCCCUGCCAGCCUACUGGCCGCCUAUGACGCCUGUGCCCACCCCCCCCCCCCCCAGCCUACUGGCCGCCUAUGAUGCCUGUGCCACCCCCAAGGAACAGGAGUUGCUGCUGAGCACCAUCAAGUGCGGCCAACUGCAGAGGAAUCUGGGACCCGCUCUGAGCAGGACCUUGUCCCAGCUCUACUGCAGCCACGGCCCCCUGACCUGAGCCAUGCCACGAGGCCAACUCCAGCCCCCACCUUCACAGGCUAGCCAGCCUUUUAAUCGGAAUCUUUUGGGCUACGAUAAAAGUAUAACUAUUUGCAGCCUUAUGUAUUAUGAAGGUGGUGCCAGGCUCCAGGGGCCUUGUGAAAUAUCCAGGCAGGAACUGGGGAGACCAGCAGGUCCAGUGAUUUUUAAACCGAGCUCCUCAGGACCCUAGGGCUCCCUGGUGGAGCACUGAGACCACCCGGGAGAUGGAGUAAGCAAGGCAUUGCAGCUUGGAAUCUAGUCCUAGGUCAUCAGACUUCCCUGAUCAAAUAAAAUUUCCUUUGAUGAGAGGUUCUGUAGCUUGGAAAAAAAAAUUUGGAAAGCACUCAUAGUCUAAUUGCCUCAUUUUAUGGAUUGGAAGACAGAGGCCCGGGAAGCCACGAGGGUCGAGCCAAGUUGACAGUUUGAGGCCAAGCUGGGAUUGAAACCCAAGGCUUCCAUCGUCUACAGUGGGGUUUCCCAGGCCCCCUGCAGACCAGUCAAACCCCAAUUUCUGGGCUGGGUCCUGGAGUCUGUAGCCUUAUUACCUCCUACCUUCUCAGAGCGAUUCUAAUGUGCGUGGUACCUAGACCAAUCCUGGCUUGGGGCUGCAGUUCCCAGUUCUUAUCCAUGGGGCCCCCUCAGCCUGAACAGAGACUCCCCCCCCCCCCCCCCCCGUGGGUGGUGGACCCUCCUCCCACAGCCUGGUCCCUUCCCCGGUCUGGGGUUCACUACAGUGUGACCCACCCCCCUCAGCCACCAGGACUCCUUCUUUCUCCCUUUAUUGCCUUUCUCUUUCUACUCUUCACAACAGCAUCUUCCCUUUUAGCCGAACACAGUCAUCCCUGAGCCCCCGGCUCUUCGGCUACAGGAAACCUCUCCCUCCCUGAGGGCUCCCCACCCACACCUCAGAAAGUGUAGGCCCCCACGAAGACGGUGAGUCUCAGUACAGAGCUGGCCCGGUAGCUCAUGAGGGAGUUCAUGGUGACCAUCUCGAGGUCCAGCACGUACUCCCGGGGGCCUGUCACAGGCCGGGCGAGGACCAGCAUGGCGCUGACAUUGUUGAUUUGCUGCAGGGCACAGUGGGUGGGGGGACAUGCAGAUUGUGUCAACCUACGUGCCAAGAUCCUGCCCUGGCAUCCCCUCCCUGUCCCUUUUCCUGCACCCACAACCAGUUUGCUUUGAAGUAGAAAGCCCUAGCCAGGCUGGGACUCCAGGCCCUCAUCUGGCUCUGUGACACCAUUGACAUCUCCUCUCUCGUGCCCCCAGGCUCCUGCCCUCAGAGAUCUCCCGCUGGUGGGGCGCCUGGGUGGCUCGGUGGUUUAAGCGUCUGACUCUUGGGUUUGGCUCAAGUUGUGAACUCACAGUUCGUGGGUUCGAGCCCUGCAUUGGGCUUCACGAAGACAGCGCGGGGCCUGCUUGGGAUUCUCUCUCUUUCCCUCUCUCUCUCUCUCUCUCUGCCUUUCCCCUGCUCAUGCCGUCUCCCUCAAAAUAAAUAAACUUAAAAAAGA